GUUAGUUUCUUCUACCACUUAAAUGUAAACAACAAAUAAUAGAGCAAACUUGACUAUUAUCUUGGUUUUCUAAAACAGAUGUUGGCAUGGCAGGGAGCAGCCAAGGUGAAGUUUUCAAAAAGGCAGACUGACUUCAGAGUCCACUGGCUUCAAGACAGUGCUUUCCAUCCUCCUUCCAACAUUAUUCACAAGGCGAUCAAGGCUUAGGAAGUCACAAGUGUGUGAAACCUGCAUUCUUUUUUACUUCAUUUUCUCUGGAAACCUCAAAGAAUUCAAAUAUGCUACUUAAUAUAUGCACUAAAGUAUGUUCACCCUUUGAGUGUUUGCUCAAAUAUUAUCAUGGCUUAUCUUCUCCAAAUAUGGGUAGAAGUUUUAUAGAAUAGACAAAUCAAUGAUGAUGACUUCUUAAGAUGCAGUAUUCAAGUUCAGAAAUCUAUACUCAGAUAAGUUUACACAGGUCAUCUGCUUCUCAGGUUUAUCUCGCCAGUGUUUUAUGUGAAGAACUGCUGUAAUGAAUUCUGCAUUUGUUCAGAUCGUUGAAGAUCUGUGAAAACAGUUACUCAAAUCUCUAUCAUGUUAGAAUGUUAUUUGCCAUUGCUCUGUUCUUCAUUGUUGAAUAAUGCAAUUCAGUUAAAAAGAAUAAACAUGUUUACUGACGACUCAU